rnacentral:lncRNA from 1 species
GGGUCGGCUACCCGAAUUACUCUUCCCCAAAAUGCUUCCUCCAUUUUCAGCCUUUUAUUUUCACCUCCUCUUUUACCCGCUUCUCCUCCUACAUCAAUUUAUCAAACACUCCACACCCCAAAACUCAGUAGCUUUGUAAUCCUAAGCAGAACCAUGUUGUCAAGCUGCAACAAAGCUCCAAAAUGCAAUUACUUCUUAGAAGGCUAAAGUUUUAUAAGAACCCAAUUUGUACACGGUAUUACGGGAUUCAAGAGGAGAGAACAAACAAUUUAUAGCUGAGAAAGGACACAGAACUAAAAAAUUUUUCAUUCGCUGAUCCAAUUGCAUACCCCCUUUUCCAGUUCACUGUCAAGAGACAUCCCACUAUACAUCGAAGGGAGCCCACCAACACGAUUAGCAACUCUCCUAAAUCCACCACAGAAUUCAACCUUCUUUUGGACAAACAUUCCUAAUAUCACCUAAGCUUUAAAACCAUCACUGUUCAAAACCACACUGCAACCACUAAAGGCCGAAAUCUCACCGCCAAAACACCCUUUGUGAACUACUCGCGGCAACAACCCAACAUAAAAAAUGCCCACCGCCAAGCAUAAAACUCACAAACACAAAAAAAGGAAAACCACAUCUCUUGGAAAGAGAGAAGCAGCGCCGAAAGAAAAGAAAAGCCAGCAAAAACAAACAUCAAAAAUCGAAAAAAAGCGCAUGAACAGAGGAAGACCUUUGGGGGUUUCGAUUUGGGCAAUUUGAGAGGGCUUGCGUCUUGAAAUUUGGAGGGAGAGGAGAAGAAAACAAAAAAGGAAGAGAAACACCACCGUCGGUGGCAUGAGUAGCGACGGCAAAGACGCUUUUGGGAGAUUUGAAUGAUGGGGAGGUAGAGCAUGGAGAAGAGAUUAACAUACCAGAAUUCCAAGGAGAUCGGACAGUAGAAAGAGGAGAUUUUGUAAUAUGAAGCCACCCGCUUGGAUCUCAGAUCUAGAGUUAUAUGAGGCAAUUUGCGAAAAAAAAAAAAGGGCUGGAUCUGAGACGAAGGGGUCGAUAGAGCUGAGGGUGCAAAUUUAGGGGGCAAAAAAGUGCCUACCGAAGGCGGCAAUAGCGACGAGAGCGGUAGCCAACAGCUGGCAUCUGGGCUUUAAAGAGGUAGAGGUCUGGCUUGUGUUUAAAGAGAUGAAGCCUUUUUUGUUAGAAAAAAG